rnacentral:lncRNA from 1 species
UAAUGCUCUCUUUUCUUUUUGAUGAUUUAUAAAGAAUCUAAAAUCUCUUUCUUUGGCCCACUCCAGUAUCCAGAUCAGAAUUUCUUUUUUCUGUUCAAAAAGAGUCCCUUUCUGGUGUCCUAAUUAUCUCUCACUUCAUUAGUGCUUGGUGGAUAAGGCAAACAGAACAAUGUCAUUGUAGGAAUUAAACUUGGAUUUUUUUAGAUGCUGAAAGUAAUACUCUUUUUUUUUUUUUUUUUUUUUUUUGAGACAGAGUCUCUCUCUGUCACCCAGGCUGGAGUGCAGUGUGGCGCGAUCUCCGCUUACUGCAAGCUCCGCCUCCCGGGUUCACGCCAUUCUCCUGCCUCAGCCUCCGGACUAGCUGGGACUACAGACUCCUGCCACCACUCCCGGCUAAUUUUUUUUUUUUUUUUUUUUUUUUUUUUUUUUUUUUUUUUUUUUUUUUUUUUUUUUUUGGCUUUUUUUUUUUUUUUUUAAA